AACUCAUACAAGGGAUCACUUGGCUCCGUAUCCGAGGAAGGCCGGAAUAGUUUCCGAGAACUAAGGCCGAACGGCAUUUGUAAAUGCCUGACUACCCCCUGGACUUAAGCAUAUUAUUAAGGGGAGGAACAAAAACUAACUAGGAUUUCUGUAGUAGCGGCGAGCGAACAAGAAAUAGCCCCGAAUGUAAGCCUCCGGGCAUUGUUAAGAUCGUCGUAACGAAUUACCGGGACAGGUAAGCCAUAGAGGGUGAUAGCCCCGUAGUGACGAGUAAUGGGCAGAGUAGGGUUGCUUGGUAAUGCAGCCUGAAGAGGUGGUGGGUUCCAUCUAAGGCUAAAUAUGAGCGGAGACCGAUAGCGUAAUAGUACAGCGAUGGAAAGGUGAAAAGCUAAAAAGUGCAAAGACGUGAAAUUGUAUUGAGUAUCCUGAUAACAGGACCCGUCUUGAAACACGGACCAAGGAGUGCAUCUGCAUAGCAAGUUAAAGGGGGGUUUCCUUUAAGCGUAGCGAAAGCAGAUAUAGCUGUUCGGAUGCGACCCGAAGGGCUGUGAACUACACCUGGCCAGGUUGAAGCCAUUCGAAAGGAUGGUGGAGGACCUAAACUUGUUCUGACGCGCAAAUCGAUGGUUUGAGCUGGGUGUAGGGGCGAAAGACCAAUCGAACAGCCGGGUAGCUGGUUCCCAUCGAAAUGUCUCUCAGGACAGCAGACACAAGUUACUUAGUAUUAUGCGGUAGAGGAACGGCGGGAUGAAAGGGGAGCAAUCUCCACAUACCGACGAACUGCGAACGUGUACGUGUUAUUCUUGUACUAAAGAAUAGCGAUUAUAUAUGUGUCUAGUGGGCGCGUUCUGGUAAGCAGGACGUGCGAAGAGGGAUCAACCUGACGUACUGAUAAGGGGCCUAAUCUGGUUUUUCUUAAGGCCGUAGAUGAAUUGUGACAGUAGGGCGGUGGCCAUGGAGGUUGGCAUCCGGUAAGAAACGUGUUGCAACGUACCUACCGAAUUCAUGUGCGCCGAAAAUGGACGGUACAAGGCCAGACCCGAUGCAGUACUUAUAGGUAGAUGGGCGUGGUGUAUGUGCAGAAGGUUUACCGUGAGGUAAAGUGGAGCAUACACUAGUGCUGAUCUUGGUGGUAGUAGUUACAAUUCGUGUGUGAAUCGCGAAGGCUUCAGGAGAAGGGUUCUUCUAAGACUUCAUAAGGAGAAGGUUAGCCGGUCCUGAGAUCUCGACAGGGAAUCGGGUUGAUAUUCCCGAGCCAUCUAGGUAUUUGGCAACAGUAAAUAUGGUGUUUACGUCUUAGGCACGACAACAAGGAGGUACCCAUUCCUUGUAGCAGUACUGUAUGUAGCGUGUUGUACAGAGCAAUACAGGCAUAUGCAAUUGUCUUAGCUGGGAUCCGUGAAAAAAUACCUUUAUGACCUAGAUGACCGUACCGACCGCAGCAGGGCUCCGUACGGUGUAUACCGGAAGCGAUAGGACAAACGUUAGUUAGGGAAUUCGGCAAAUUAGAUCCGUAACCUCGGGAAAAGGAUUAGCUCUAAGGAAUUAGAACUUUUAGUUACGGGGAAUCCGACUGUUUAAUAAAAACAUAGCUUUGUGGUGGUGUAGUACGUGGACACAAAGUGAAUUCUGCCCAGUGCCCAGCUGUUAAGACAGGUCGGGCUGUAUACGCAGGGGUAAACGGCGGGAGUAACUAUGACUCUCUUAAGGUAGCCAAAUGCCUCGUCACCUAAUUAGUGACGCGCACGAAAGGAGCAACGAGAUUCCCACUGUCCCGACUAACAACCUGCGAACCCACGAGCCAAGGGAACGGUCUUGGCUAUGCAGCGGGGAAAGAAGACCCUGUUGAGCUUGACUCUAGUGUGACGCCGGGGUCUUGUGCAGCUGUAGCAAGGUGGGGCAACUGAAAGACCACUAGCUGUGCAAGCGACCCGUAUUUGUCAGAUGGGGAGUUUGACUGGGGCGGUACAUCUGCUAGACUACAACGCAGAUGGCCUAAGGGUGGCUAACUUCGGAGAGAAACCGAGGGUGUAGUCCAAGGGCAAAAGCCACCCUGACGUAUUACUACACGGUAAUACGAGGGGAAACCCAGGCCUAGCGAUCCCAUUGCUUACAGAGCAUCUAGCAAUGGGUGACGUAAAAGUUACCACAGGGAUAACUGGCUUGUGGCAGCCGAGCGACCAUAGCGACGCUGCUUUUUGAUUCUUCGAUGUCGGCUCUUCCUAUCAUGGUGCAGCAGAAGGCACCUAGUGUUGGAUUGUUCACCCACUAACAGGGAACGUGAGCUGGGUUUAGACCGUCGCGAGACAGGUUAGUUUUACACUACUGCUACGGUACUAAGGGAGCAGAUGCUAGUACGAAAGGAACGAAUCUGCAGGACCUCUUGUCGUGCCUAUAUCUGGUAAGGUACGGGCUAAGCAACGUCCUGGCACGGAAGAGCUGAAGGCCUCUAAGCUUCAACGUGGCCCUACUGUACUAUCUAGCAUGAAGACGACGUGCUUGG
rnacentral:rRNA from 1 species